UACGGAGGGAGCUAGCGUUGUUCGGAAUUACUGGGCGUAAAGCGCACGUAGGCGGCUUUGUAAGUUAGAGGUGAAAGCCUGGAGCUCAACUCCAGAAUUGCCUUUAAGACUGCAUCGCUUGAAUCCAGGAGAGGUGAGUGGAAUUCCGAGUGUAGAGGUGAAAUUCGUAGAUAUUCGGAAGAACACCAGUGGCGAAGGCGGCUCACUGGACUGGUAUU
rnacentral:rRNA from 1 species